rnacentral:rRNA from 1 species
GUUCUAGUACUCAGAGUUUGAUCCUGGCUCAGGACGAACGCUGGCGGCGUGCCUAACACAUGCAAGUCGAACGGAGAGUUUAUUGAGGAGACUUCGGUCAACGAGAUAAAUUUCUUAGUGGCGGACGGGUAAGUAACGCGUGAGCAAUCUGCCUUUCAGAGGGGGAUAACAUUCUGAAAAGAAUGCUAAUACCGCAUAACGUAUUUUGGUGGCAUCAUCGAGAUACCAAAGGAGCAAUCCGCUGAAAGAUGAGCUCGCGUCUGAUUAGAUAGUUGGUGGGGUAACGGCCUACCAAGUCGACGAUCAGUAGCCGGACUGAGAGGUUGAACGGCCACAUUGGGACUGAGACACGGCCCAG